ACUCCAAGCCUUUAUUUGUUAUAAUUUUGAAGAUUAUUGCUUACAAUUUAUGAAAACCCCAAAUUCAAAAUCUCAGAAAAUUAGAAUAUUGUGAAAAGGUUCCAUAUUGUAGGCUCAAAGUGUCACAUUUUAAUAAGCUAAUUAAUCCAAAACACCUGAAAAGAGUUCCUGAGCCUUUAAAUGGUCUCUCAGCCUGCUUCAGUAUGGAUUCACAAUCAUAGGGAAGACUGCUGACCUGACAGUUGUGCAGAAAACCAUCAUUGACACCGUCCACAAGGAGGGAAAGCCUCAGAAGGUAAUUGCAAAAGAAGUUGGAUGUUCACUAAGUGCUGUAUCAAAGCACAUUAAUAUAAAGUUAAGUAGAAGGGCGAAGUUUGGAAAAGAAAAAGGUGCACAAGCAGCAGGGAUGACCACAGCCUGGAGAGGAUUGUGCGCAAAAGGCCUUCCAAAAUUGUUGGAGAGCUUCACAAGGACUGGAUUGAGGCUGGGGUGAGUGCAUCAAGAGCCACCACACACAGACAAAUCUGUGAAAUGGGCUUUAAAUGUCGUAUUCCUCUUGUCAAGCCGCUCCUGAACAAAAAACGACGUCAGAAGCGUCUUACCUGGGCUAAAGAAAUAAAAUAACUGGUCACUUUCUCAAUGGUCCAAAGUCCUCUUUUCAGAAUAGAGCAAAUUUUGCAUCUCAUUUGGAAACCAAGGUCCCAUAGUCUGGAGAAAGAUUGGAGAGGCACAGAAUGCAAGAUGCUUGAAGUCCAGUGUGAAGUUUCCACAGUCUGUGUUGGUUUGGGAAGCCAUGUCAUCUGCUGGUAUUAAGACCAGAGUCAACGCAGCCGUCUACCAGGACAUUUUAGAGCACUUCAUGCUUUCUUCAGCGGACCAUCUUUAUGGGGAUGCUGACUUCAUUUUCCAGCAGGACUUGGCACCUGCCCACACUGCCAAAACUACAAAAACCUGGUUCAAUUACUAUGGGAUUACUGUCCUUGAAUGGCCAGCAAACUCGCCUGACCUGAACCCCAUAGAGAAUCUAUGGGGCAUUGCCAAGAGAAAGAUGAAAGACAUGAGACCGAACAAUGCCAAAGAGCUGAAGGCCGCUAUUGAAGCAUCCUGGUCAUCCAUAACACCUCAGCAGUGCCACAGGCUGAUAGCAUCCAUGCCAAGCCGCAUUAAGGCAGUAAUUCAUGCAAAAGGGGCCUAAACCACGUGCUGAGUACAUAUGCAUGAUUAUACUUUUCAUAGGGCCAACAUUUCUUUAUUUAAAAUCCUUUUUUUAUUGAUUUCAUGUAAUAUUCUAAUUUUCUGAGAUUUUGAAUUUUGGGUUUUCAUAGACUGUGAGCCAUAAUCUUCAAAAUUAUAACAAAUAAAGGCUUGGAAUAUCUCACUUUGCAUGUAAUGAGUCUACAUAAUGUAUUAGUAUGACCUUUUAAGUUGAAUUUUGAAAUAAAUGAACUUUUGCACGAUAUUCUUUUUCUGAUGACCUGUAUGUAGAACACUAGAUACGCCACGCCCCUCUCAGCCGCGGCACACGGAGCCGCCGUCUUGUGUGGGUCGAGUAGGUAGGUACUGUCAGACAGCCAUAGAUAUAUGUGUUCACAACUCUCAUUUCUCAAAAAAAAAAACAAUGCCAGUUCAUUGUACUGCUUUCGGGUGUGUACACCAUCGUUCAGUACACACCAGACCAGAGGGAAUCACUUUCCACAGGUGAGAUACAUUUUUUAAGUAAAUGUUUUAGUCAUCAUUAGCUAUCAGGCGAUGUUUUUUUUCGUCAGACAGACAGACAGACAGACAGACAGACAGACAGACAGACAAACUUAUAGACAGUUAGGCCGAGAGAUCUUUAUUUUAUAAUUGUACUGUUUGACUUCAAAGUGCAAUGCAUUUAGGCAUGUGCACCUGGACAGGACAACUUAUUGAAGUUAAAUCCGAGCAACAGAAUGGGGUUUGAAAGGGGGUUUAAGUGACUUUGAACAUGGCGUGGUUCAUGUUGCCAGACGGGCUUGUCUAAGUAGUUCAGAAACUGCUGAGCUACUGGGAUUUUCACUCACAACCAUCUCUUAGGUUUACAGAGAAUGGUAGCAAGACAAUAGGUCAUAUCCCUUUGUGGUGUUUUUGUGUGUGGUCUACUAUAAAUAUGGAAUAAGUUAAUUGCCUCAAUGUUAAGUAGGCCUGUGUUGGGUUUGAUAUCCUUCCUACUCUACCACUCAUGUCACUUCUAUUCAUAUAAGGAAAACACGAAUGGUUGAAAUAUCUUAAAGGGUUGUAUGUUGCUGUUGGUUUCUCUUUAAGGAGGCUGGAAUAACAACCCAACUGCUGGACAGUUCCAGGGUAUCUUCCGCAAGCUCAUGUGUAGAUGUGGUGUCAAGCCUGUGGAUUCUGGCAACAUGAGAGGACAGGAUGCCACUAUCACCAUGUCAGCUGACUACUACACCAGAGUCUCCCUUUCUGCUGCGGAGAUGUCCUCUGCAGAUGCCGCCACUGCUGAAGAGCUGGUUUCUCCAUUCCUGAACAUUUCUGCCCUUGUAGGGGACCAUAGCUACCUCCCGACUCGCUUUGGUGGUCUAGUAGUCAACGCACUGGUCUACGUAGCUGGGUUCGGUGUAUUUUCGCAGCCUGUCCUGUGAUGUAUGCCGUGCCAGCCUGGUGACAGAUCCUGUAGCUGUCCCAUUUGACCAGAGGGAACAGCGGGAACUACGGAAUAACGGUGGGCUGAUGAUUCCUUCAAAAGGAACUGUAAAGGUGGUGAGAGCUGCCGAGAGGGCAAUACGUCAACACUCACCAGGGAAAGCCCCUUAUGAGGUUGUUGUAGCCCACUUUGUCAGAGAGGAAAUCUGGACAGAGGACGUCUUUGCACUGGGGAGCCAUGUCCAAGAAAGCCAGUUUGGCAUUGACAAUCACCUGUCCCUCCUGUCGCUGGUUGUGUCUGUCUUUAUGCGAAUGCGGCUGCAUCAUAUCGUCAAAUUAACCUCGCUUACCUGGCAGAGAGGAAAUUCCCGAAAAAAACACUGAAAAACCAUCCUGUUUCAAGGAUUUUGAAAACGACGUGUGUGUGUGUGUGUGUGUGUGUGUGUGUGUGUGUGUGUGUGUGUGUGUGUGUGUGUGUGUGUGUGUGUGUGUGUGUGUGUGUGUGUGUGUGUGUGUGUGUGUGUGUGUGUGUGUGUGUGUGUGUGUGGUACUAAAUGUAUAAUUGUAAACACUGUACCAAACUACAAGGAUUGUAUAAAUCAAUAAAAAGAAUGUAUGAAGUGUAAAUAUAGUACAUCAAAUUAUAAAAAUACACAUGUGUGUGUAUAUAGAUAUAUGGAUUGUAUAAAUAUAUAAAUUAUAAAAUAUAUAGUAUCUUAAGUUGUAUAUGUAUGGAUUGUAAAUAUCAAUUAUAGUAUCAGAAAUAAAUUAAAUUGUACAUAGAUAUAUAAAAAUAUGAGGAACACA